UACGUAGGCAGCAAGCGUUGUUCGGAAUUACUGGGCGUAAAGCGCGCGUAGGCGGCUUUGCAAGUCGGGUGUGAAAUCCCCAGGCUUAACCUGGGAACUGCAUUCGAGACUGCAUUGCUAGAGUAUGGGAGAGGGAAGUGGAAUUUCCGGUGUAGCGGUGAAAUGCGUAGAUAUCGGAAGGAACAUCAGUGGCGAAGGCGGCUCACUGGCCCGGUACUGACGCUGAGGUGCGAAAGCGUGGGGAGCAAACAGG
rnacentral:rRNA from 1 species